rnacentral:rRNA from 1 species
UACGGAGGGUGCAAGCGUUGUCCGGAAUCACUGGGCGUAAAGGGCGCGUAGGCGGCUCAUGAAGGCUGUGGUGAAAGUCCGGGGCUCAACCUCGGAUCGGCCGUGGCGACUCGUGGGCUGGAGCACUGUAGAGGCGGGUGGAAUUCCGGGUGUAGCGGUGGAAUGCGUAGAGAUCCGGAAGAACACCAGUGGCGAAGGCGGCCCGCUGGGCGAGCUGGCUGACGCUGGAGGCGCGACAGGCGUGGGGAGCAAACAGG